AACGAACGCUGGCGGCAGGCUUAACACAUGCAAGUCGAACGAUGUAGCAAUACAUAGUGGCGCACGGGUGAGUAACGCGUGGGAAUAUACCUUAUAGUGGGGAAUAACGUUGGGAAACUAACGCUAAUACCGCAUACGCCCGAGAGGGGAAAGAUUUAUCGCUAUAGGAUUAGCCCGCGUGAGAGUAGGUAGUUGGUGGGGUAAUGGCCUACCAAGCCUACGAUCUCUAGCUGGUCUGAGAGGAUGAUCAGCCACACUGGAACUGAGACACGGUCCAGACUCCUACGGGAGGCAGCAGUGGGGAAUGUUGGGCAAUGGAGGAAACUCUGACCCAGCCAUGCCGCGUGAAUGAUGAAGGCCUUAGGGUUGUAAAGUUCUUUCGCCGAUGAAGAUAAUGACGGUAGUCGGAGAAGAAGCCCCGGCUAACUUCGUGCCAGCCGCCGCGGUAA
rnacentral:rRNA from 1 species